rnacentral:rRNA from 1 species
CCUACGGGAGGCAGCAGUGGGGAAUAUUGGGCAAUGGGCGCAAGCCUGACCCAGCAACGCCGCGUGAAGGAAGAAGGCUUUCGGGUUGUAAACUUCUUUUCUGAGGGACGAAGAAAGUGACGGUACCUCAGGAAUAAGCCACGGCUAACUACGUGCCAGCAGCCGCGGUAAUACGUAGGUGGCAAGCGUUAUCCGGAUUGAUUGGGUGUAAAGGGCGUGUAGGCGGGGAAGCAAGUCAGAUGUGAAAACUCAGGGCUCAACCCUGAGCCUGCAUUUGAUACUGUUUUUCUUGAGUGCUGGAGAGGUAAGCGGAAUUCCGUGUGUAGCGGUGAAAUGCGUAGAUAUAAGGAGGAACACCAGUGGCGAAGGCGGAUUGCUGGACAGUAACUGACGCUGAGGCGCGAAAGCGUGGGGAGCAAACAGGAUUAGAUACCCGAGUAGUC